UACGGAGGGUGCAAGCGUUAUCCGGAUUCACUGGGUUUAAAGGGUGCGUAGGCGGAUAGGUAAGUCCGUGGUGAAAUCCUGCAGCUUAACUGCAGAACUGCCAUGGAUACUAUUUAUCUUAAAUGUCGUGGAGGUUAGCAGAAUAUGUCAUGUAGCGGUGAAAUGCUUAGAUAUGACAUAGAAUACCCAUUGCGAAGGCAGCUAACUACGCGAUAAUUGACGCUGAUGCACGAAAGCGUGGGGAUCAAACAGG
rnacentral:rRNA from 1 species